rnacentral:rRNA from 13 species
CAAUCAAUAAAGGGCAUAUGGUGGAGACCUAGGGACCUAGAGCCGAUGAAGGGCGUGACAACCGACGAUAUGCCUCGGGGAGCAGGACGUAUGCUUUGAUCCGAGGAUUCCCGAAUGGGGCAACCCAAAGCAUUCCUUCUUGAAUUCAUAGAGAAGAGAAAGACAACUUGGUGAACUGAAACAUCUUAGUAGCCAAAGGAAAAGAAAGCAAAAGCGAUUCCCAAAGUAGCGGCGAGCGGAAUGGGAACAGCCUAAAAGGACUUUGACAGUAAUGUAAAGACCAGGUCAUGGGACCAAACAUAUGGCACUGCAUGGAAUGAGAAACGAAACAGCUGAAACCUGUACCAUAGAUGGUGAAAGUCCAGUCGUUGAAUCACUACCAACAACCGCCGUUUGGCUCCCGAGUAGUAUGGGACACGUGAAAUCCCGUAUGAAUUUGCGAGGACCACCUCGUAAGGCUAAAUACUCCUAGGUCACCGAUAGCGAAUAGUACCGCGAGGGAAAGGUGAAAAGAACCCCUUUACGGGGAGUGAAAUAGAACAUGAAACCGUAUGCUUACAAUUUGUGGGAGGAUGAACACAUCUGACCGCAUGCCUGUUGAAGAAUGAUCUGGCGACUUAGAAGAAGUGGCAGGUUAAGAUUUUCCAUCGAAGCCAAAGCGAAAGCAUGUCUGAUAAGGGCUCUCGUCCCUUCUUCUAGACCCGAACCCAGGUGAUCUAACCAUGACCAGAAUGAAGCUUUGGUGAUACGAAGUGGAGGUUCGAACCGACCGAUGUUAAAAAAUCGACGGAUGAGUUGUGGUUAGGGGUGAAAUGCCAAUCGAACUUGGAGCUAGCUGGUUCUCCUCGAAAUGCGUUGAGGCGCAGCGGUUGAUUAUGGGCUUCUAGGGGGUAAAGCGCUGUCUCGGUGCGGGCUGCGAAAGCGGUACCAAUCUGUUGCAAACUCGGAAUACCUAGAACGCUUUCAAUCGGCCAGUGAGACUGCGGGGGAUAAGCUCCGUAGUCAAAAGGGAAACAGCCCAGACCACCAGCUAAGGCUCCUAAAUAAAAGCUAAGUGGCAAAGGAGGUAAAAAUGCAGUGACAAUCAGGAGGUUUGCCUAGAAGCAGCCACCCUUUAAAGAGUGCGUAAUAGCUCACUGAUCAAGCGUUUUCGCGCCGAAAAUGACCGGAACUAAGUUUUUUGCCGAAGCUGUGGCUACAUCACAUAGAUGAUGUAGGGUAGAGGAGCGUUCCGUCCAGGGGGAAGCCAAGCGCGUAAGCCGCGGUCGACAGGACGGAAGUGAGAAUGUCAGAUUGAGUAACGUAAACAUUGGUGAGAAUCCAAUGCCCCGAAAACUCAAGGGUUCCUGCGCAAGGCUCGUCCGCGCAGGGUCAGUCAGGACCUAAGGUGAGGCCGAAAGGCGUAAUUGAUGGCAAGAAGGUUUAUAUUCCUUCACUAGUCUAGGCUUAGUCCUGAGGGACGAACAAAUAACACUCUACACAACAGCCAUACUUGGCAGUUUGGAUAAACCUGUUGUUGUUUGAUGCUAUUUAUUCCAAGAAAAGCUCAUUCGACUUUGAGUCUAGACUACCUGUACCGUAAACCGACACAGGUGAGUGGGUUGAAUAAACUAAGGGGAGCGAGAUAACUCUCUCUAAGGAACUCGGCAAAUUGGCUCUGUACCUUCGGAAGAAAGAGUGCCCCUCAGGGGGCCACAGUAAAGAGAUCCAGGCGACUGUUUACCAAAAACACAGGUCUCCGCAAAGUCGUAAGACGACGUAUGGGGGCUGACACCUGCCCAGUGCCAGAAGGUUAAAGAAGUUGGUCAAUCUUUGAUGAAGCUAACAACUGAAGCCCUGGUGAACGGCGGCAGUAACUAUAACUGUCCUAAGGUAGCGAAAUUCCUUGUCGGGUAAGUUCCGACCUGCACGAAUGGCGUAACGACUUCCCCACUGU